rnacentral:rRNA from 1 species
GACGGGUGAGUAACGCGUGGGUAACCUGCCCUGUACAGGGGGAUAACAGUCAGAAAUGACUGCUAAUACCGCAUAAGACCACAGCACCGCAUGGUGCAGGGGUAAAAACGUACCGGUGGUACAGGAUGGACCCGCGUCUGAUUAGCUGGUUGGUGAGGUAACGGCUCACCAAGGCGACGAUCAGUAGCCGGCUUGAGAGAGUGAACGGCCACAUUGGGACUGAGACACGGCCCAAACUCCUACGGGAGGCAGCAUG